rnacentral:tRNA from 1 species
UCCCUGAUAGUCCAGUGGUUAGGACUCUGCACUUCUACUGCCAGGGGGCCCAGGUUCAAUCCCUGGUGGGGGAA